rnacentral:rRNA from 1 species
GACGGAGGGAGCAAGCGUUGUUCGGAUUUACUGGGCGUAAAGGGCGUCUAGGCGGGUUAGUCAGUCAGAUGUGAAACCCCCCGGCUCAACCGGGGACCGGCAUUUGAUACUACUGAUCUUGAGUACGGAAGAGGAAAGCGGAAUUCCUGGUGUAGCGGUGAAAUGCGUAGAUAUCAGGAAGAACACCGGUGGCGAAGGCGGCUUUCUGGUCCGAUACUGACGCUGAAGCGCGAAAGUGCGGGGAG